rnacentral:sRNA from 1 species
GCCGACGGCAGUGACGGCCUGGCCGCCGGCGGGGACAGGGAUGGGCACGACGCCAUGCGUGAGCAUGGACUGGUAGAUCUCUACGAGCACCUUCUCGCCGUACUCCUUGAGCUGCCGCGGCCGCACGAAGGAAUACUGGCCCGCGGUGCAGUAGGGCGUGCCGGCGACGACGCCAGCCACAGCAUGGCCGAGACGUAGGCGUCGUGGAGGAGCACGAGCCACUGCAGCGACGACAGCACGGGGAGCACCCUCCUCCCUAGGGCUGUGCUGCACGUGCCACCCAUGGCUCCGCGUGUGGCGAGGGCCCUCCUGCUGCUACUGCGUCGGCGCGACGCUGUGACGCACUCCUCCGAGCUCCGCAAUGGGGAGCGUCGCUGGCGGCGGCGGCGUCGAGGCGGUAGUAGCC